GCUAAAGCGGAUCGGUUCUAGACUUCUAGUAGCACAAACAUACGCACGCGAUCGAGUCGCAUACGUACACAUACGAGUCCAGCUCAGCACGCCUCUCUCGCUCGUUUUCAUCUCACAUACUAGCACGAUUGCCCUCUUGGAGAUGCGGUGCUGCUGCCGCGCCGCCGGCUGGCGUCUUGGCCGUCACUAGUCGCUUCCGGCGCCGCCGCACGCCGUCGUGGCUCCGUCCUCCUCUCCUCUUCCGAACCCCCACCGUCGCCCCUCUCUUCGUUCACGUGCGCGCGCCCGCGCGGCAAACCCUAGCCCGUGGUUGGCUUGGUCGCCGCCGGCCGCUACCGGCUCUGGCGCCCCUGACUGCUUCCCUUCGUCCACCACGACGCCUCGACAUUCUUCCGCGACCACCUCCCGAACCCUCGCUCGACUUGGCCGUGCUCGGCCACCCGCUGGCCUCCCCGAUGGUGUGUUGCUGCUGCUGCCUCUUGGGAUGGCCGUGGCCUCCCGCAUCUCGAUGCGGUGGUAAGUCUGGUUGGCCCCUCCUUCGUCUACACAUCUUACAAGCUCGGCUACAGCCACGAUUAUAACUCCGGUUAGGUAAUUUCAGGUACUGGCGGCUCUAUUGGUUUGCUACAUAUUGGUGAUGCCCCUGAUUCACUUCUGGUUGAAUUUAAACAGCUAGAUAAAUGUAUGGUUACUUACUAAUUGGUUGUGUUAGUGGGGUAUUGAGAUGCAUUCAUGGACUGCUGCUUAUGUAUGGAUGCUUUAUAUUGAUACUACUGUCUAUGAUUAAAAGAUUAUGCUGCUGGCAUGUUAUUUGCUUGUAGCUGUCUAAUAUGACAGUGAAUAAAUGUUAGCAAUGAUUCCUUGUUGGAACUAGGAAAAUGAUUUGAAUUUAUUUGGUA